CACAUGAAGACGAUCAAUUAUGGAUCAAAUGAACACUAGUCUUUAAUUCAUUGCCUCGUCGCCUCCAUAUCCUCCCAUCCCAUAGGCCUAUUUCUGGUGUGGGAAGAGGAAAGACAGUGUUAGAGGGUCAUAACAAUGAGGACAAUGACCCAAAACACACCUCAAGGCUGUGUAAAGGCUAUUUGACGAAGAAGGAGAGUGAUGGGGCUGCAUCAGAUGACCUGGCCUCCACAAUCAGCCAACCUCAACACAAGUGAUAUGGUUUGGGAUGAGUUGGACCACAGAGUGAAGGAUAAAGCAGCCAACAAGUGCUCAGCAAAUGUGGGAAGUCCUUCAAGACUGUUGGAAAGCAUUCCUCAUGAAGCUGGUUGAGAUAAUGCCAAGAGUAUGAAAAGCUGUCAUCAAUGCAAAGAUUGGCUACUUUGAAGAAUCUCAAAUAUAAAAUAUAUUUUGAUUUGUUUAACACUUUUUUGGUUACUACACUGUUCCAUAUGUGUUAUUUCAUAGUGUUGAUGUCUUUACUAUUAUUCUACAAUGUAUAAAAUAUUAAAAAUAAAGACAAACCCUUGAAUCAGUAGGUGUGUCCAAACUUUUGACUGGUAUAUAUGUAUUUUUUUUAUACAUCUCCCAUUUGGUAAUGCGGUUUACAGCAGCAAUAACAAAUGUGUUGACUUGACACCUGUGUCUGAGUUUUGAAGGACCCUUACCCCCCUUUUGUUCCAUGCUGGCUGAAGACCUAGCUAGCCUCUCUGGGCUAGGCGGGACGAAUUCGUCCCACCUACGCAACAGCCAGUUGAAUCCCGUGGCGCGAUUUUCAAAUACCUUAGAAAUGCUAUUACUUCAAUUUCUCAAACAUAUGACUAUUUUACAGCAUUUUAAAGACAACACUCUCGUUAAUCUAACCACACUGUCCGAUUUCAAAAAGGCUUUACAACGAAAGCAAAACAUUAGAUUAUGUCAGCAGAGUACCCAGCCAGAAAUAAUCAGACACCCAUUUUUCAAGCUAGCAUAUAAUGUCACAUAAACCCAAAC
rnacentral:lncRNA from 1 species